CCUACGGGCGGCAGCAGUGGGGAAUAUUGGACAAUGGGCGAAAGCCUGAUCCAGCCAUGCCGCGUGUGUGAAGAAGGCCUUCGGGUUGUAAAGCACUUUCAGUGGGGAAGAAAGCCUUGGGGCUAAUACCCUCGAGGAAGGACAUCACCCACAGAAGAAGCACCGGCUAACUCCGUGCCAGCAGCCGCGGUAAUACGGAGGGUGCGAGCGUUAAUCGGAAUUACUGGGCGUAAAGCGCGCGUAGGCGGUCUGAUAAGCCGGUUGUGAAAGCCCCGGGCUCAACCUGGGAACGGCAUCCGGAACUGUCAGGCUAGAGUGCAGGAGAGGAAGGUAGAAUUCCCGGUGUAGCGGUGAAAUGCGUAGAGAUCGGGAGGAAUACCAGUGGCGAAGGCGGUCUUCUGGACUGAAACUGACGCUGAGGUGCGAAAGCGUGGGUAGCAAACAGGAUUAGAUACCCCAGUAGUC
rnacentral:rRNA from 1 species